rnacentral:rRNA from 1 species
AGCGAACGCUGGCGGCAGGCCUAACACAUGCAAGUCGAACGAACCUUUCGGGGUUAGUGGCGGAGGGGUGAGAAACACGGGGAAAUGCCCCUUGGGGUGCGGAAAAACUGAGGGAAACUUGCGCAAAUACCAAAUGCGCCCUUGGGGGGAAAGAUUUAUCGCCUUUAGAGCGGCCCGCGUCUGAUUAGCUAGUUGGUUGAGGUAAUGGCUCACCAAGGCGACGAUCAGUAGCUGGUCUGAGAGGAUGAUCAGCCACAUUGGGACUGAGACACGGCCCAAACUCCUACGGGAGGCAGCAGUGGGGAAUCUUGCGCAAUGGGCGAAAGCCUGACGCAGCCAUGCCGCGUGAAUGAUGAAGGUCUUAGGAUUGUAAAAUUCUUUCACCGGGGACGAUAAUGACGGUACCCGGAGAAGAAGCCCCGGCUAACUUCGUG